AGGAAAUUAACUUAACGGUAGAGUGUUUUACUUACAAUAAAAUGGUGAAAGUUCGAUUCUUUCAUUUCCUA